rnacentral:tRNA from 1 species
AGUUAUUUACUCGGAGUAAAGAUUGUUUUGAAAACAACCUUAAAGCGUUCGACUCGCUUAAUAACUU